CAGGAACAUAAACCUUUUGCUAUUUUCUCUCUUGUCUCUUGUCAAUUCCCUCCAUUCAUUCAGUGAAAAUGUGGCUAAACCUUAUGUCCUUACUAGUAGUCCUCAAAGGAGUCCAGUCUCAAGUCCUGUUGGUGGAGUCUGGAGGGGACGUGAGAAGACCUGGAGGAUCCCUCCGUCUCUCCUGCCAAGCCUCUGGAUUCACCUUCAGGAGCUAUGGAAUGCACUGGGUUAGACAGGCUCCAGGGAAAGGCCUGGAAUGGGUGGCAUACAUAAGCUCUGGUUCUGGUACUAUUUACUACUCAGACAAAGUGAAGGGACGCUUCACCAUCUCCAGGGACAAUGCCAAAAGCCAGCUGUAUCUGCAGAUGAACAGCCUCAAAGCUGAAGACACAGCAGUCUAUUACUGUGCGAGAGACACAGUGAGAGGAAGUGAAUCUGGAGCUUGGAAAAAACCUUCCUUUCUUCAGAGCAGCUCUUCAACUUGA